GCUGGGCAUAGUGGCGCGUGCCCUGUAAUCCCAGCUACUCAGGAGGCUGAGGCAGGAGAAUUGCCUGAACCCAGGAGGCGGAGGUUGCGGUGAGCCGAGAUUGCGCCAUUGCACUCCAGCCUGGGUAAACAACAGCGAAACUCCGUCUCAAAAAAACAAAAAACAUUUUACUCUUACGGAUCUUAAAUUUUUUUGAGACAGAGUCUUGCAUUGUAGCCCAGGCUGUAGUGCAGUGGCGCGAUCUCGGCUCACUGCAGUCUUCGCCUCCUGGGUUCAAGCAAUUCUCCUGCCUUAG
rnacentral:SRP_RNA from 1 species